GAGCAGACAUAGUGACUGACAGACUCUCCAGGAUCACUUGUUUUGGAAACGUGCAGAUCACCACAGCAGCAAACACCUGCAGUUGAUGGGAUCUUUCAGGAUGAUGCGCAAAUGUCUAAAGAGCCAUCUCUGCUAUGUGACGUGGAGAUCAAGUGCAACAGCUGACAACAAGACAGCCCACUUCAUCUAGGACAAACAGGCCUUGUGCAAAGCAUUUUGCUGUAUCCAAUCAUCGUUCAUGACAAACUGUAAUGGAUGGAUGGAUGGAUGGAUGAUAAACAGAAAAGCUUCCUGGCCAACCAGCAGCUAGACCUAUUCAUUCUAAUUGUGACACUGGAUUGGAAAUUACUUAGUAACCACUUGAGUAAAUGAUGGGGGAAAACUCUGCAGAGCAGUUUCAUCAUCUUAAUCAAGCAAACAUCGUUAAAGUCUCUCUUGACCAUAUUUCCUGAGCUCUGCUUAUCUACAAGUCAUCAGAAUAAACAGUUCCAAUUAAGGAAAACAGAGGCACAUACGGCUCCAGAUCUUGGCCACCGAGAAAUGUGCAGUCUCAAAGCCCUUACGAAAUGUUUGACAAAUCCCCUGCCUCAUAUGAAGACAGAUAAAGCAUUACAUAAUAGAAUAUUUUGGAUCGGAAAUCUUUGUCAGAGCCCAGAAUUAGUGUCUUGUGCAAGCAUACCUCGUCCCUGGGUAGGAAUGUCACUUGAAUAAUAUUUCUUCCCUAUGUCGUCUUUUGACCUGGUUCUGGUUUGGCUCUACCAUUUGAUCUUUGGAAAGCAUUAGGUCAGAAAGCCCUGAAAAGUUGAGUUCAGUCUCCCAGAGAUUUUCCUUCUGAGUGGUCAUAGGUUUCAGCACAAACAUUUCCAGUGGUAAAUUCUAAUUCUUCAACAGGCAGUUCAUCAACUCCAAAUACAUUUAUUAAGCACCUGCUAUGCAAAAUAUUGUGGGUUUUGUGUGAAAAAUGCAAAGUCAAAUAAAAUUAAGUUCUUGCCUUCAAGAAACAUAUUGUGUAGUGGAAGAGAGUUGUAAGAAAAUACAUAACAAACCACUGUGAACUAUUUCUACAGAAAUAUGUAUAGGGUGCUAUGCCUGUACAUAAUAAGUUAUAACAGUUAACAAUUUCUCUUAUAUCUGUCACUACUCUAAAAUUCUACACCUAUUAACUCUUCCAACUUUGAAAUAGCGCUGAAAGAUAAACUGAGGUGCAGCAGUAAAGCAUUUAUAGUUGCACAAUGUUACCGCCAGGUUGGGAGAAAUAUACAAUUCAUCCU